CGCAGGCUUACACAUGCAAGUCGAGGGGUAGCAGGGAGCUUGCUCCGCUGACGACCGGCGAACGGGUGCGUAACGCGUAUAGAAUCUACCUCUUACUAAGGGAUAGCCCAGAGAAAUUUGGAUUAAUAUCUUAUAGUAUACAGACCUGGCAUCAGGAUUGUAUUAAAGGUUACGGUAAGAGAUGACUAUGCGUCCUAUUAGCUAGAUGGUGUGGUAACGGCACACCAUGGCUACGAUAGGUAGGGGCCCUGAGAGGGGGAUCCCCCACACUGGUACUGAGACACGGACCAGACUCCUACGGGAGGCAGCAGUGAGGAAUAUUGGACAAUGGAGGCAACUCUGAUCCAGCCAUGCCGCGUGCAGGAAGACUGCCCUAUGGGUUGUAAACUGCUUUUAUUCAGGAAGAAACACUCUCACGUGUGAGAGCUUGACGGUACUGUAAGAAUAAAGAUCGGCUAACUCCCUGCCACCAGCCGCGGU
rnacentral:rRNA from 1 species